rnacentral:misc_RNA from 1 species
GAUGAAGAACGUAGCGAAAUGCGAUACGUAAUGUGAAUUGCAGAAUUCAGUGAAUCAUCGAAUCUUUGAACGCACAUUGCACUCUCUGGUAUUCCGGAGAGUAUGCUUAUUUGAGUAUCAGUAAACACCUCAAAUCUCUUGUUUCUUGUGAAUAAGAGAAUUGGACUUGAGCAAUCCCAACUCUUGCAAAAGAGGCGGGUUGCUUGAAAUGUAGGUGCAGCUGGACAUUCUUCUGAGCUAAAAGCAUAUUUAUUUAGUCCCGUAAAACGGAUUAUUACUUUUGCUGCAGCUAACAUAAAGGUUGAAUGGCCAAUAUGGCUGACUGAUGCAGGAUUAACAGAGAAUUUAUUCUUUGUAAACUCGAUCUCAAAUCAAGUAAGACUACCCGCUGAACUUAAGCAUAUCAAUAAGCGGAGGA